GCCAUGUAGAAUAGCAGGCAGUUCCGAAUACAUGUUGGAUGAGUUCCACAGACCCUGGACACCCAUAAAGUUUGAGUGAGAACACACUGGGAAGAAGCAUUACAGCCCAGACUACAGGACCAUGGAGGGUCUUUCUAUGGAGGCCAGUGUUUCUGCAGCUCUGCUGAUGGCAUCCUGUCUGCUGGCACUGUCUCAGCCCAGCUGUGAUCAGACCCAGUUUCUGCACUCUAAUGGCAGUUGUGUUGACUGUCCUGUCUGUGGACCUGGGGAGCAGCUA